rnacentral:rRNA from 1 species
AAGCGUGCGCAGGCGGUUGUGCAAGUCUGAUGUGAAAGACCCCGGGCUUAACCUGGGAACGGCAUUGGAGACUGCACGACUAGAGUGCGUCAGAGGGGGGUAGAAUUCCACGUGUAGCAGUGAAAUGCGUAGAGAUGUGGAGGAAUACCGAUGGCGAAGGCAGCCCCCUGGGAUGACACUGACGCUCAUGCACGAAAGCGUGGGGAGCAAACAGGAUUAUAUACCCCUGU